AAUUUUUAUCAACAUCAGAGAAUCAGAAGUAAGAACCCCUCAAUGUUCAGUUGAAAUCGAAAAAUUGAAUCCCUAACACCCAAAUCAAAUACUCAAAUCAAUGUAAGAACUAAGAACCCUAAAUUAAUAGCCUCACCAACAUCAGAGAACUAGAGGUUGUAAUUUUUCCAAAGAUGGAUGAAAGCUUGAUGAGUGUCCUGGAUUCAUGUCCCUCUCUUAAUUUAUAGCAACUUGAAUCUCGAAUUCGUUUCCACAGCAUGCGUUCAGAACUUGAUUUGGAGAUUGUAAUCGUUGAAGUCGGUGGCUGAAGCGAGGCAGAGUCUUCAUUGGAAGUGGGAUUUUGACUUGGAAACUGAGGGGUAUUGGUUGUUGGAUAGGAUCGAGAUGACGAUUGAAAUUUUCCAUACCAGAAUUGUCGAUUACAAUGAAUGAGUGAGAGGUUUUUUAUUUUUCUGAGAGAAAUCGGCAAAAAAG
rnacentral:lncRNA from 1 species